UGGGGAAUAUUGCACAAUGGGCGCAAGCCUGAUGCAGCCAUGCCGCGUGUGUGAAGAAGGCCUUCGGUUGUAAAGCACUUUCAGCGAGGAGGAAGGUGGUGAGCUUAAUACGCUCAUCAAUUGACGUUACUCGCAGAAGAAGCACCGGCUAACUCCGUGCCAGCAGCCGCGGUAAUACGGAGGGUGCAAGCGUUAAUCGGAAUUACUGGGCGUAAAGCGCACGCAGGCGGUUUGUUAAGUCAGAUGUGAAAUCCCCGGGCUCAACCUGGGAACUGCAUUUGAAACUGGCAAGCUAGAGUCUCGUAGAGGGGGGUAGAAUUCCAGGUGUAGCGGUGAAAUGCGUAGAGAUCUGGAGGAAUACCGGUGGCGAAGGCGGCCCCCUGGACGAAGACUGACGCUCAGGUGCGAAAGCGUGGGGCAGCAAACAGGAUUAGNUACCCUGGUAGUCCACGCUGUAAACGAUGUCGAUUUGGAGGUUGUGCCCCUUGAGGCGUGGCUUCCGGAGCUAACGCGUUAAAUCGACCGCCU
rnacentral:rRNA from 1 species